rnacentral:rRNA from 1 species
CCGGCGAUUUCCGAAUGGGGAAACCCAGUGUGUUUCGACACACUAUCAUUAACUGAAUCCAUAGGUUAAUGAGGCGAACCGGGGGAACUGAAACAUCUAAGUACCCCGAGGAAAAGAAAUCAACCGAGAUUCCCCCAGUAGCGGCGAGCGAACGGGGAGGAGCCCAGAGCCUGAAUCAGUGUGUGUGUUAGUGGAAGCGUCUGGAAAGGCGCGCGAUACAGGGUGACAGCCCCGUACACAAAAAUGCACAUGCUGUGAGCUCGAUGAGUAGGGCGGGACACGUGGUAUCCUGUCUGAAUAUGGGGGGACCAUCCUCCAAGGCUAAAUACUCCUGACUGACCGAUAGUGAACCAGUACCGUGAGGGAAAGGCGAAAAGAACCCCGGCGAGGGGAGUGAAAAAGAACCUGAAACCGUGUACGUACAAGCAGUGGGAGCCUCUUAAUGGGGUGACUGCGUACCUUUUGUAUAAUGGGUCAGCGACUUAUAUUCUGUAGCAAGGUUAACCGAAUAGGGGAGCCGAAGGGAAACCGAGUCUUAACUGGGCGUUAAGUUGCAGGGUAUAGACCCGAAACCCGGUGAUCUAGCCAUGGGCAGGUUGAAGGUUGGGUAACACUAACUGGAGGACCGAACCGACUAAUGUUGAAAAAUUAGCGGAUGACUUGUGGCUGGGGGUGAAAGGCCAAUCAAACCGGGAGAUAGCUGGUUCUCCCCGAAAGCUAUUUAGGUAGCGCCUCGUGAAUUCAUCUCCGGGGGUAGAGCACUGUUUCGGCAAGGGGGUCAUCCCGACUUACCAACCCGAUGCAAACUGCGAAUACCGGAGAAUGUUAUCACGGGAGACACACGGCGGGUGCUAACGUCCGUCGUGAAGAGGGAAACAACCCAGACCGCCAGCUAAGGUCCCAAAGUCAUGGUUAAGUGGGAAACGAUGUGGGAAGGCCCAGACAGCCAGGAUGUUGGCUUAGAAGCAGCCAUCAUUUAAAGAAAGCGUAAUAGCUCACUGGUCGAGUCGGCCUGCGCGGAAGAUGUAACGGGGCUAAACCAUGCACCGAAGCUGCGGCAGCGACACUAUGUGUUGUUGGGUAGGGGAGCGUUCUGUAAGCCUGUGAAGGUGGCCUGUGAGGGUUGCUGGAGGUAUCAGAAGUGCGAAUGCUGACAUAAGUAACGAUAAAGCGGGUGAAAAGCCCGCUCGCCGGAAGACCAAGGGUUCCUGUCCAACGUUAAUCGGGGCAGGGUGAGUCGACCCCUAAGGCGAGGCCGAAAGGCGUAGUCGAUGGGAAACAGGUUAAUAUUCCUGUACUUGGUGUUACUGCGAAGGGGGGACGGAGAAGGCUAUGUUGGCCGGGCGACGGUUGUCCCGGUUUAAGCGUGUAGGCUGGUUUUCCAGGCAAAUCCGGAAAAUCAAGGCUGAGGCGUGAUGACGAGGCACUACGGUGCUGAAGUGACAAAUGCCCUGCUUCCAGGAAAAGCCUCUAAGCAUCAGGUAACAUCAAAUCGUACCCCAAACCGACACAGGUGGUCAGGUAGAGAAUACCAAGGCGCUUGAGAGAACUCGGGUGAAGGAACUAGGCAAAAUGGUGCCGUAACUUCGGGAGAAGGCACGCUGAUAUGUAGGUGAAGCGACUUGCUCGUGGAGCUGAAAUCAGUCGAAGAUACCAGCUGGCUGCAACUGUUUAUUAAAAACACAGCACUGUGCAAACACGAAAGUGGACGUAUACGGUGUGACGCCUGCCCGGUGCCGGAAGGUUAAUUGAUGGGGUUA